rnacentral:rRNA from 1 species
UACGUAGGGUGCAAGCGUUGUCCGGAAUUAUUGGGCGUAAAGAGCUCGUAGGCGGUUUGUUGCGUCGGCUGUGAAAUCCCGAGGCUCAACCUCGGGUCUGCAGUCGAUACGAGCAAACUAGAGUGUUGCAGGGGAGCCUGGAAUUCCUGGUGUAGCGGUGAAAUGCGUAGAUAUCUGGAGGAACACCGGUGGCGAAGGCGGCAUCCUGGACCGAUAUUGACGCGUGAGACGCGAAAGCGUGGGGAGCAACAGG